rnacentral:misc_RNA from 1 species
ACUGGUGCUAUAAGAGAAUUGCUCAGAUGGUAAUAGCCAAUCAAUAGCAAUCUUGAUUAUGUCAUGAAUUCAAUAUGAUAGCAUCCACUGCAUGGACACAUACGCAGAUGCAUAAACACAAUUAGGCACUGAUGUUCUGCAUAAAUGCACAUGGUUGGUUAAUCUUUACUUAAAUCCGGAUGUUUGGCUUGCAGAUUUGCUAUUUCUUCUACAAAAAUAUAG